rnacentral:rRNA from 1 species
ACGAACGAGACCUUAACCUGCUAAAUAGUCCGGCCGGCUUUUGCUGGUCGCAGACUUCUUAGAGGGACUGUCAGCGUCUAGCUGACGGAAGUUUGAGGCAAUAACAGGUCUGUGAUGCCCUUAGAUGUUCUGGGCCGCACGCGCGCUACACUGACAGAGCCAGCGAGUUCUCACCUUGGCCGGAAGGUCUGGGUAAUCUUGUGAAACU